GAUGAACGCUGGCGGCGUGCCUAAUACAUGCCAGUCGAGCGAACGGACGAGAAGCUUGCUUCUCUGAUGUUAGCGGCGGACGGGUGAGUAACACGUGGAUAACCUACCUAUAAGACUGGGAUAACUUCGGGAAACCGGAGCUAAUACCGGAUAAUAUUUUGAACCGCAUGGUUCAAAAGUGAAAGACGGUCUUGCUGUCACUUAUAGAUGGAUCCGCGCUGCAUUAGCUAGUUGGUAAGGUAACGGCUUACCAAGGCAACGAUGCAUAGCCGACCUGAGAGGGGGAUCGGCCAAACUGGAACUGAGACACGGUCCAGACUCCUACGGGAGGCAGCAGUAGGGAAUCUUCCGCAAUGGGCGAAAGCCUGACGGAGCAACGCCGCGUGAGUGAUGAAGGUCUUCGGAUCGUAAAACUCUGUUAUUAGGGAAGAACAUAUGUGUAAGUAACUGUGCACAUCUUGACGGUACCUAAUCAGAAAGCCACGGCUAACUACGUG
rnacentral:rRNA from 1 species